rnacentral:rRNA from 1 species
UCUGACGACCAUAGCCACCCGGUACCACGCCUUCCCAUCCCGAACAGGACCGUGAAACAGGUGCGCGCCGAUGAUAGUCAGGAUUGCCCUCGCGAAAGUAGGUCAUCGUCAGAC